rnacentral:rRNA from 1 species
UUGACCUCGGAUCAGGUAGGGUUACCCGCUGAACUUAAGCAUAUCAAUAAGCGGAGGAAAAGAAACCAACAGGGAUUACCUCAGUAACGGCGAGUGAAGCGGUAACAGCUCAAAUUUGAAAUCUGGUCCCCUAUGGGGGCCCGAGUUGUAAUUUGAAGAGGAUGCUUUUGGCGAGGCGCCUUCCGAGUGCCCUGGAACGGGACGCCACAGAGGGUGAGAGCCCCGUAUGGUAGGACGCCGAGCCUCUGUAAAGCUCCUUCGACGAGUCGAGUAGUUUGGGAAUGCUGCUCAAAAUGGGAGGUAAACCCCUUCUAAAGCUAAAUAUUGGCCAGAGACCGAUAGCGCACAAGUAGAGUGAUCGAAAGAUGAAAAGCACUUUGAAAAGAGAGUUAAACAGCACGUGAAAUUGUUGAAAGGGAAGCGCUUGCGACCAGACUUGCGCCCGUCGGAUCAACCGUCCCUCGUGGGCGGCGCACUCCGGCGGGCUCAGGCCAGCAUCAGUUUUCCUGGGGGGAGAAAGGCGGUGGGAAUGUAGCUCUUCGGAGUGUUAUAGCCUGCCGCGUAAUGCCCCCGGGGGGACUGAGGACCGCGCGUAAGCA